CACUUUUCUGGAAAACAGUCUGGAAAAACGAUCUGUUCUGCGGCGUUGGUUCUAGCUUCCGCGCGUGAGGAGACAAACAUCGGAGCUAUACUUUCAACCUUCAACUCCUCACAGUAAAGAAAAACAUGUUCCAUUUUAUUUUCGCACAGUCCGUGAUUCACCUGUAGCAAAUUCAGCACCAGGAAGGGCAACAGGGACAGACCCUAAAGUCCAUAGACCGAUUCAGCACCGCCCGGUAAUGGACAGCGACCAU